UUCUAAACAGGAGUUUAUUACAAUUGUUGUGCAUUACUUCUAUACACAAGAAAAAUCACUUAUGUACAGCAAGUGUGGCAAGCAUUGUAUCUGGACUUUUUUCUCAGUAGCUUUAAGACUGCAUCUAGUCUCAUGUAGACUGAACUUUGACUAAACAUGCAAAAGUCACAUUGUAAAAUACUCUGGACAAGAACCACUAACAUGUAGAUGGGAAGAAACGGUCUGACUGACAUGUAAACCAAACACAGUCAGUUUUGUUUUCUAUGUAAUCUUUAGUGGAGGGUUUAUUUGAAAUUUUCUUCAGGCCAUGUUAUACUAAAUUAUUUUCUCAUUCAUCUUUAUUUAAUGUGUGAGAUACCACUGAUACUCUCAAAAUACACAGAGAUUUAAUUAUUGUUGCUUUGUUCAAAGGUACAAUUUUAGUUUGUGGCUACACUAUUCUGGAAGUAUCAGUGUACAAUACAAGGUGGUUUAGCAGAAAUGAACAGAUGCACACUGACUCCCUCUGCUGGUCACAAGGUGAAGAACGUGAUCUCCAUUGAAUGGCAAUUAUGAUUUUUGUGGGCCAUCUAAAAAAAAAAAAAAAGCAAUUUUAUGGAAUUAAAUAAAUUUUACAUUAGUUACAGGAAUUAUUUUUACAGAUGUUAAGGUUUCACAAAAUUUCCCUCAUAAUCUAUUAAGCCUUACAAAGGCAAACCUUUAUUUACUCAAAUGUCAUUUUAUGUCAUUUUACAAUUUUACAGAGUUGAAUAUAUUAUGAUAUAUGUAUACACUAAUUUUGGACAUUUUCAGUUUGCUAUCAGUGCUUUUAUGUCAUCUCUGCAGGUGUUUGGCUUUGAUGCUGUAAAUAAACUGGAGAGUUUCCUGUCUCCUGUAAAUCAAAAACGUGCGCGCGUGUGUGUGCGUCCCCUCACUGAGGUCUUGAUGUGUGGGGAGGAGGAGUUCAUCAGCUCUGACAGUUUUGGUAAUAGCGAGUGUGAUUGGAGGGUGUUGGGCCUCUUUCUCUCUCAUUAAGAGGAUGCCUGUACUUCUGUAUCAUCAGAGCGGAGAAGCUUGUUCUGGGUGUUGAGUUAAUCAUGCUGAGGAUGAUGGGGAGAUGCUUGACACUCAUUUUACUGUUUUCCGUGGUAAUACUCAUCACAGCUGGUAAGUACAGUACAUUUGAAAUUAAGAAAAGUUAUUUUUAGAAGGGGUCAGGAUUGUGUUCUUUAGUCACUUAAAAUGAAACUGUACUGUAAUGAGUUGUUUUAGAUGACAGGGUAAUUGCAUUGUCACAGUGUUGAAUUUGAUCCUGUAUUGAUUAGCAGGCAGUUUAAUUCUCUCUAUUAUUU
rnacentral:lncRNA from 12 species